UACGAAGGGGGCUAGCGUUGUUCGGAAUUACUGGGCGUAAAGGGCGCGUAGGCGGUGUGUCAAGUCAGAUGUGAAAUCCCCGGGCUUAACCUGGGAACUGCGUUUGAAACUGGUUGGCUUGAGUGCAGGAGAGGAACGCGGAAUUCCAGGUGUAGCGGUGAAAUGCGUAGAUAUCUGGAGGAACACCCAUGGCGAAGGCAGCUCUCUGGUCGACCUCUGACGCUGAGACGCGAAAGCCAGGGGAGCAAAGCGGG
rnacentral:rRNA from 1 species